UCGCCUGUAUGAAGUCGGAAUUGCUAGUAAUCGCGGAUCAGCAUGCCGCGGUGAAUACGUUCCCGGGCCUUGUACACACCGCCCGUCACACCAUGAGAGCCGGGAACACCCGAAGUCCGUAGUCUAACCGCAAGGAGGACGCGGCCGAAGGUGGGUUUGGUAAUUGGGGUGAAGUCGUAACAAGGUAGC
rnacentral:rRNA from 1 species